rnacentral:misc_RNA from 1 species
GCAUUUUGGGGGCUGUUUUGGCUUUUGGUUGCUUGCUUGGCCUUUUGGUCGGGUGGGUCGCUACUAGUUGGGCGGCUUUCGGGAAUGUCGACCGUAAAGGUGCAUGAGUGGUGUUUGGUUUGUUACGUGUGGUUGGCUGUUUGCUUGCGCAACAACGUCCACGCGGCAUACCUCUUCAGUUUUGUGGCAAGACUCGGUUUGUCUUGAGCAUAUUGUGGGUUUCCUGUGUUGCAUACCUAAUCGAUGGUAUCAUGUUGGUUUCACGUUGUUCCUUUUCGUCAUGCGUUGCUCUUGCGGCGUGGGAUGAACAUCGAAGUGGUCUUUGUGAUCCACCUUGUCCUWGAAAUUGCAAGGAUGAUGUGGCCAAUGAAGCAUCGUUUGGUCUCUUGUAUACAGAACCGAAUGUGGGCAUGGGUCUUAUAAGAUCUUGAAUUUGCCCUUGUUAAGCGUUCUCGCUUCUUCAAAACGAUUGCUUGUCAUGUCUUGGCUUGUCCUUGCAUGGUGGGCGACGUCGA